UGUUCAGAAUAAAAACCCUUAUACAGUGUGCAAAUUUUAACUCUGAACAAACAAAUCUCCUAUAUAUUCAAUUCUUAAAUAUACCUACAAGUCAAAUGCCCCUUAAGAUAUGCAAACAAUCUUACCUACUUUCAUGAUUUUCAAUAAACGUCAAUGUCUUGUAGCAAUUUGAAAUAGUGUGUAGGGUAGGUAGUAGAUAGUUACGGUAGUUCAGGUUAGAGCUGUAUGAUAUUUUGCAUAGUUUUAGGCAAAUUUAACACUAGAUUUAACAAUUUAGUUAUCAUAAGGUCAUUUCCCACUUGGAAAUUCUUGGGAUAUCAAUUUUGGGAAAAACGUAUAUUUUUCGAGGUAGAGUGGAUUGGGUUAGCUUUUCGUGCGGCUAGGGAGAUAGAGAAUUAUAAUUAUUGGAAUUCACUGUUUAUCAGGAUUUAUCUCCUAGCUCCUGUAUCUGAUACUGGUUGGCUGAUCGAAUUGAUGGUAUAGUUGGGAAUCAGUAUAAGUAGUUUGUUUUAUCAGAUUUGAAGCAGCCUGAAGAGAAUACCAAUUGGGAAUUUGAUUAGUGUAUAUAGUUAGGAAACAACGUCGAAUUAGAAUAUUAGGAUGGUAGUCAUAAGUUUGAGUUUAGAACAUUGCGGACGAGUUGCAAGCUAUAACAUCUAGGUAAGAAUUAGGUAUCUCUUAAG